AGCGAACGCUGGCGGCAGGCUUAACACAUGCAAGUCGAGCGGUCAUCUUCGGGUGUCAGCGGCGGACGGGUGAGUAACGCGUGGGAACGUGCCUUCUGGUUCGGAAUAACUCAGGGAAACUUGAGCUAAUACCGGAUACGCCCUUUUGGGGAAAGGUUUACUGCCGGAAGAUCGGCCCGCGUCUGAUUAGCUAGUUGGUGGGGUAACGGCCUACCAAGGCGACGAUCAGUAGCUGGUCUGAGAGGAUGAUCAGCCACACUGGGGCUGAGACACGGCCGAGACUCCUACGGGAGGCAGCGGUGGGGAAUAUUGGACAAGGGGGGCAACCCUGGUCCAGCCAUGCCGCGUGAGUGCUGAAGGCCUUAGGGUUGUAAAGCUCUUUUAUCCGGGACGAUAAUGACGGUACCGGUGGAAUAAGCCCCGGCUAACUUCGUGCCAGCCGCCGCGGUAA
rnacentral:rRNA from 1 species